CGAACGAGAAAGUCUUGCUUGCAAGGCGAGUAAAGUGGCGCACGGGUGAGUAACGCGUGGGCAAUCUACCUUUGGGUCGGGGAUAACACUCCGAAAGGGGUGCUAAUACCUGAUACGAUGCGAAUUUCAAAAGGAAUUCUCAUGAAAGGUGACCUCUUCCUUGAAAGUUGCCGUCCGAAGAUGAGCCCGCGUCCCAUUAGCUUGUUGGUGGGGUAAUGGCCUACCAAGGCGAAGAUGGGUAGCUGGUCUGAGAGGAUGAUCAGCCACACUGGAACUGAGACACGGUCCAGACUCCUACGGGAGGCAGCAGUGGGGAAUAUUGCGCAAUGGGGGAAACCCUGACGCAGCAACGCCGCGUGAGUGAUGAAGGCCUUCGGGUCGUAAAGCUCUGUCAGGUGGGAAGAACAGGGCAAUUCCCAAUAAGGAUCGCCCUUGACGGUACCACCAGAGGAAGCACCGGCUAACUCCGUGCCAGCAGCCGCGGUAAUACGGAGGGUGCAAGCGUUGUUCGGAAUCACUGGGCGUAAAGCGCGUGCAGGCGGCCUGUUAAGUCAGAUGUGAAAUCCCUUGGCUCAACCAAGGAACUGCAUCUGAAACUAAUAGGCUUGAGUACGGGAGAGGAGAGUGGAAUUCCCGGUGUAGAGGUGAAAUUCGUAGAUAUCGGGAAGAACACCGGUGGCGAA
rnacentral:rRNA from 1 species